CGAUUCUGGCUCAGGACGAAUGCUGGCGGCGUGCUUAACACAUGCAAGUUGAACGGUAUGACAUGGAAGCUUGCUGAAGUGUCAUAUAGUAGCGGACGGGUGAGUAAUGCAUGAGAAGCUGCCAUUGGGAGGGGGACAACAGUUGGAAACGGCUGCUAAUACCCCGUAUGCCGGAAGGUGAAAGGGAGCGAUCCGCCCGAUGAGGUGCUCAUGUCCUAUCAGCUGGUUGGUGGGGUAACGGCCUACCAAGGCGACGACGGGUAGCCGGCCUGAGAGGGUGAACGGCCACACUGGAACUGAGAUACGGUCCAGACUCCUACGGGAGGCAGCAGUGGGGAAUAUUGGGGCCAAUGGGGGCAACCCUGACCCAGCGACGCCGCGUGGGGAAGACGGCCUUCGGGUUGUAAACCUCUUUUGUACGGGAAGAAGGAAGUGACGGUACUGUACGAAUAAGUCCCGGCUAACUACGUGCCAGCCGCUGC
rnacentral:rRNA from 1 species